AUGGCUCACGGGCCCAGCCGCUCCACGAACCUGCAUCCCCUGCAUCGGCAGGUGGACUCUCAACCACUGCGCCACCAGGGAAGUUCUGACUGGGACUAUUAAUGAAGGGAUAGACAAGUCAUAGGUGAUUGGAGGAUGGUGUGAGAAGUGCUGUGAUGGCAGAGAUACUGAGGGCACAGAAGACAGCGGGCCAUAAUCCUACUUGGGGUGGCCAUGGCAGGGCUACCAGAGGCUAUAGCCGAGUCUGGGGAGGAUUCCAGCAGAGGGGACCAGAAGAGGCUCAGUGGUGAGAGAGAGCUGGCCUGUUAGGAGGAAUGAAUGGCAGGCCAAUAUACUGCCCACAGUGUCAAGUGUAAGAGGAGGCUCAGAGCAGUGCAAGGAGAGAGCAUGUGGGUCCUGGCAGGCCAGGGAAGGGUAUGGACUUGACCUUGGGAAGUGGGGAGCCAUUGAGGAUUCAUGAGGAAAGACUCUGUCUACUGUUUUUGUGUUCCAAAAGCCAAGGUGAUAGCCAGUAGCUCUGCACUAUUUUUGCCAUCUUUGGGCCUCACAGCAGAGCAGGCCAUAGCUAGGGUUAAGUAGGCACCAGUGUUGGUUACUCUUUGGUUCUGCCACUCGGGGGAUCUGAAGGCCUCCCUCCACUCCAGAAAUCCCCCACUACCACAACCACCACCAGGAUGCUUUCAGCCCCAGAGACCAUUCUUUUUUCACAUCAAGGAGUUCGUUCGUUCAUGCAUUCAUGAACUCUGGCUGCCUGAAGUGGCCCACGGCUCCUGCACGGCCCAGUGCUAUGGGAGAGGAGGGUCACAUUCCAAGCUGCGUCCUGCCUGGCUUGCCUCGCCUUGCAGAGCCAAACCCCGGUGCACAUGGGAGCCUCUCUGUGCACCCGGCAUGGAAUUUUCCUCUCAGAGGCUGACCCAGUUCCUUGCUGCUAUUCAGUCACCCUGGCUGAGCCUGUGGAAUUCCAUAAAGGUUAGACAUUAGAGAGGAGUCCUAAUGUUACAAGGAGCCUUCCUGCCCCCUACCUGAAUUGCACCAGGGUUAGGCUGGGCCACUUGCUCACCUCUGGGGAUCUUAAGCUCCCUUCCCUGGGGCCAAGGCUCCCUCACCCCCCAAGGUACACUGAGGGCCUUCUCUCUCCUUCCUGACAAAGCUGCAUGUCCCAGGCUGCCACGAGUGCCAUGGUGCAGGCUCCUCUCCUGAAGGGAUGUCUGUCACCUGAUGUCCUGGCCCAUGACAGUGGCCUGCACCUACCCUGACAUCACAGUGUCCAACAACUAAGAAAAUUGGGGACAUGUAAGGGAUUUCUACCUUCUGAAAAUUAUAGUACCAGGUCUAGUCCAUAAACAGUAAAUUAUACAGGCAUCAAUAAAUAAGUUUACAUCUUACACCUGACAGUUCUCAGGUCAUUCACACUUUGGUAGUGAUUUGCCUUCAGACACGUGAUCUCUUCCCAGAGAAGACAUUUAAUGACAGCUCCUCCCCAUUCCACCCCUCACCAAGGCCUUUAUUUAUUCUCAUCAUGUUCUAGGUUAUGCUGUAGUUACUCCUGAAUGGGGCUUAUCUUCCCUAGUAGGUUAUCAACUUCCCAAGGGCUGGAACCACACCACAGAGAUCAGUGUCUACCCAGCACCAGGCAGGAAGAUUCAGGGUGGAAGGAAAGCAUCUUACCAUAUUCCCUAGGGGUGAAGACAAAUACAGUCUUCUUGUACUAAAGGCCGGCACUAAUGAGCGAAGUGGAGUGCUUACUCUGUAUGAAGUGGUGACUGCUGAUAAUAAGGAUGGUGGUGUGAUUGUCAACAGUUAAGGAGUGCUUUACUGCUGGACAGGCACUGUGAAAA